GGAAUCUCUCGGGUAUUAGCCAUGUACUGAGCAUAGAAAGGUCUUUCUGAAAAGUACUCUACCUGCCCUGUGAUAGUUGCAAGGAGGUGAAGGAAGAGGAUUAAGUACGGGAGAAAACGGAAAGAAGAAAAAAGGAACUUUUUCUCAGUUAAUUAAUUCGAGGCUAGGUGGCGCAAGCUACCGCCCGUUAUAAAGGGAACAGCCGGAACAGCCAAUAUUCAUCCAUCCGCGUUCCCGCCACUGCAACUGUGGCCCCUGCCACCGCUGGUAUCGCCGGUUCGAUUUCUUCGAGCGAACUUCUGGGACAGUUUGAAUAGCUUGAGCUAGUUUGAACUUUGAGUUACUUUGAUUUCCAGUUAAGCUACGUCCAGCCGCGUCCACAACGGUGACUGCUGACUGAUAAAGAGGACAACCGAACAGCUUCUGGACGGCGGGACUCGAGAACCGCAAAGAAGUCCUAAGCAUCGUGUCCAAAGCAGGAAGUGCUGGUGCGAAUCUCAGCUCUAGAAAGACGACAUUCUGUGUUUACUUUUAUUUUAUCCUUUAAAAACAAUUUAUUCAUGAGUAUUUGCCACCUGCUCAGUAUGGCAAUAAUGUUUUUUUUUCUUUCAUCUAGUCAUCGGUUGUGGACAUUUCUUUUAAAGCCUUUUCCUAAUCAUGUGUUCCAGACAGGUUUUUAAGCUUUUUAUAGCUCUAUUUUUACUUUUGCAACUUGAACAUUUAUAGCUGCUCGGUAUGAGAAUGCGGAGAGCUCAAACUCCUCUGAAACGCCCUCGCGGUUGGAGUAGGAUGUGAACGUUUGAGAACAUUUAAUAAAAUUAUAAUAAAGAGAAACAAUUUUGGUAUGAAGCGGGUCCACUGUAAAACCGUAAGAUGACAUUUUAGUUCUUGUAGCAUUCAUUUUAAUGAGAAAGUUUGUGAGCAGGAAAAAUAAUCAUGCUUUCUUUCAUGAUGGCAAGCUUUUUCUACCAAAAUUAGUGCUAGCAUUCUCGGUGCUAUUUUUUAUGUACCGCAAAUUAGGCUUAAGAUGGACGUCAGCUCAUAGAGAAAUUUAGUUUUUUUUUUAUUAUUAUUAUCUUUUGAUCCAUGUAAUGUCGUGUUUUCAAACUUUUGCACCCUACUCCAAUCGCCAGGGCUACAUUCUACCAGAGUUUCAGGUCGUUGUAAUGUCUAGUUUAUUUUUGCGGUAGAGAAACACUGUUGAGUUUUCUCGCUCCUUUCUUUAAUUAUGUGAGCUUCAUGAACCCAAUUUACAGGCCUUCAAGCUUCUUCGAAAGUGUGAAUUUUUUUCAUAAUUGUUCUCUUUAAUUUUUUUUUUAGAGGGAAAAUAAUUUUAACUGCAUAGGUCUAGCAAUAUUGUCGCUGCUCAUGUACACUUCAAUGUUCCAAAUUUGGAGAGUCAAUAAAUGUACUCAUAAACAU